rnacentral:tRNA from 1 species
ACCCGUGUAGCUCAGCGGAGAGAGCGCCUGACUACGGAUCAGGAGGCCGGGGGUUCGAUCCCCUCCACGGGUG